UACGGGGGAGCAAGCGUUGUUCGGAUUUACUGGGCGUAAAGGGCGCGUAGGCGGCCACCGCAAGUCGACUGUGAAAUCUCCGGGCUUAACCCGGAAAGGUCAGCCGAUACUGCGGGGCUAGAGUGCAGAAGGGGCAACUGGAAUUCUCGGUGUAGCGGUGAAAUGCGUAGAUAUCGAGAGGAACACCUGCGGCGAAGGCGGGUUGCUGGGCUGACACGUGACGCUGAGCGCGAAGGCUGGGUAGCGAACAGG
rnacentral:rRNA from 1 species